rnacentral:rRNA from 1 species
UAAGGAAUAUUGGUCAAUGGACGCAAGUCUGAACCAGCCAUGCCGCGUGAAGGAUGAAGGUCCUCUGGAUUGUAAACUUCUUUUAUCUGGGACGAAAACGGGAUUUUUAUCUCAAUUGACGGUACCAGAGGAAUAAGCACCGGCUAACUCCGUGCCAGCAGCCGCGGUAAUACGGAGGGUGCGAGCGUUAUCCGGAUUUACUGGGUUUAAAGGGUGCGUAGGUGGGCUUAUAAGUCAGUGGUGAAAUCUCCGAGCUUAACUUGGAAACUGCCGUUGGUACUAUAGGUCUUGAAUUAUCUGGAGGUAAGCGGAAUAUGUCAUGUAGCGGUGAAAUGCUUAGAUAUGACAUAGAACACCAAUUGCGAAGGCAGCUUACUACAUAUAAAUUGACGCUGAGGCACGAAAGCGUGGGGAUCAAACA